AAUAUAUUUUAUAUUGGUCAUUAGACAAAAUCUGAUAAAGCGAAGGUGAGUCGAUCAAAGUUGCCCUACAAUCAUAUAUCUGGUUCCCGAUCAUUUGCAGCAGCGAUGUCACUAAUUAAAUCAAAAAAUGAUGGGCAAGUUCCCUCUUUUGCGGAAUUUUACAAGGAAACCCACUACCAAAAAAAGGAAAGUAUGGGUAAACGAGAAAGCACAAGAUACCUAUGAGCGAUUAGUCAACAAGACUAUCGAACAAUCUCAGCCCGAAGUUACAUCCCCGAUGAAUGAGUUUGAGAUCUCCAUUGAGGUACUUGGAAGGAGGCCAGGUUACCUGAAGGGGUAUGGGAUCCACCUUCGAGGGAGUUCAU